rnacentral:rRNA from 1 species
UCAGACGAUGCGUCAUGCAUAUCAAUAAGCGGAGGAAAAGAAACUAACAAGGAUUCCCCUAGUAACGGCGAGUGAAGCGGGAAGAGCUCAAAUUUGAAAUCUUAAAGGGUUUCCCUUUACGAAUUGUAGUUUAAAGAAGUGUUUUCUGUUGAGGUUUUGGUAAAAGUUCUUUGGAAUAGGACAUCAUAGAGGGUGAGAAUCCCGUAUUUGACCUUUACUUUCAACUUUGUGAUACACUUUCAAAGAGUCGGAUUGUUUGGGAAUGCAGUCCAAAAUGGGUGGUAAAUUUCAUCUAAAGCUAAAUAUUGGCGAGAGACCGAUAGCGAACAAGUACCGUGAGGGAAAGAUGAAAAGAACUUUGAAAAGAGAGUUAAACAGUACGUGAAAUUGUCAAAAGGGAAGCGUUUGACACCAGUGUUGUUUUUCUGAAAAUCAAUUAAAGAACUGUUUAUGCUAAGCUGUUUAGGACUUUAUCAGCUAAUCUGUUUAGUUUUGAGCUUUUCUUUAAUGCACUUUUCAGUUAACAAGUCAACAUCAAUUUCUUUUGCUGUAAAAAAGCUUGAGGGAGGUGGCUUGAGAUUCGUCUUAAGUGUUUAUAGCCUCUUGCCUAUGCAGUCGGAGAGAUUGAGGUCUGCAGCGUAGAUCCUUCGGGGCUAAAUGCAUUUGUGCUAAGUUAUAGCAUUUUAUAGACAACUUGUUGACUAUGAUUUGUCUUGUAGCUUACUCGCUUAUGUUAUUUUACCUACGCUUAGGAUGUUGACACACGCGCGUGCUC